AUGCAUGUGGGGCGUGUGGGGUGUGGGUCUUGUGUGAAGAGCUGGGGCGGGGGUGAGAACAGUCAGAGACCAAUAGAAGAGAUGGUCCCUGAUAGGUGCCCACAGAGGGUGAAGGAAGGACUGAAAUGCAGGAAGACCCAGGCAUGGCCUGGAGCCAAAGGGAAAACUCUCAAAAAUGCUAUUUUCAACUGGAGGGGGGAUUGUUUUCUUCAUAAAAAGACUGUGUUAGUCAACAGAAAAGGAAGAGCAAGAAAAGCUCUGGUCUGGUGGUCCUAUCACGCAGGACAAGUGGGUGUCCUUCCUGUGAGCCAGCUCUGAAACUGAUGCGAGUAGCUUUCCAGAUGGCUCGAGGCGCUGCCCAGGCCCAGCCUCUCAGGUAAGGCUCACAGCCCCUCGGAAAAGUAGAUCAGUGUGUUUCCCCCAUUCUACGGAUGAGGUAGGUGAGGCUGCCUUUCAGGCAGGGGAAGUGACUUGCCCAGGUCACACAUACCUGAGUGACAGGCAGAGCCAGGGCCAAGGCUCUGAGCAGCUGCAGGUCAUUGCACUCUUGGUGCUUUUGCUGCCCUCCCAGGCCCAGGGCCCUGCAAACCUGCGGUUGCAGCCUUGCAGUCGCCUUCAAGGAUCUGUGCCUGCUGCGGGCCAGCUUCCAGGGCCGCCUGGGGGCUGGAGGAACCAGCCGCAUAGGACAGAGCCCACCUGGGUCUCUGGGCUGGAGGAAGAACGGAACACUGCGGGGGGAGCCACUUAGCACAGGGCCUGGGGGCACGGAGCGCUUCAGGAGAUCCGUUGACCGCUCGGGGCCUAAGCGGCUGGGACUUGAGCGCAGACCCUGCUGGUUGCUCUGAGCUGCCUGCCAGCGCUGCCAGACGCCCCGUGAGUCCCAUCCGGGCCAUCGCCAUCACCGAAGGCUUCCUGUAGGAGGGGACCUUUGAGCUGAGCCUUGAAGGAUGGGUGGAAUGUCCACGAGGGUCCAGAGGAGAGGAACGGGCUGGCGUUUCAGGUGGACGGGUGGACUCUUCCAGAAGGCGGUCUUUAAGGGCGAGCGCGCGGGGACUCGCCACACCGUGGGGGCCUCCAGGCCUCCGCUACUGCAUAGAAUUUGCCGACUAUUAGCCACGAGGGGGCGGGGUGAGGCGGGGCGGCGCCGAGGUGGUGGGGUGGGGGGAGCCCAGGGAGCUUCAUAAAGCCACAGCAAAGGCGCCGCGACGCUAGUGACAGCGGCCCGCUGGAGACGCAGCCCGGGAGCUGCCGCGCGCCCGCCAGACGCGGGCGCAGGACCCAGGCGUCCGAGGCCGGGCUCCGCUGGGGGCCCCCGCCC
rnacentral:lncRNA from 12 species